GGAAUCCAAAUUUGAAGUGGAGUAGAUUGGUAAGAUCAGCCGACCCUACUCAACUAUUCUACUUCAAGUUUGCGCCC
rnacentral:pre_miRNA from 1 species